rnacentral:rRNA from 1 species
AGUGAACGCUGGCGGUAGGCCUAACACAUACAAGUCGAACGGCAGCACAGUAAGAGCUUGCUCUUACGGGUGGCGAGUGGCGGAUGGGUGAGGAAUACAUCGGAAUCUACUUUUUCGUGGGUGAUAACGUAGGGAAACUUACGCUAAUACCGCAUACGACCUACGGGUGAAAGCAGGGGAUCUUCGGACCUUGCGUGAUUGAAUGAGCCGAUGUCGGAUUAGCUAGUUGGCGGGGUAAAGGCCCACCAAGGCGACGCUCCGUAGCUGGCCUGAGAGGAUGAUCGCCCACACUGAAACCGAGACACGGUCCAGACUCCUACGGGAGGCAGCAGUGGGGAAUAUUGGACAAUGGGCGAAAGCCUGAUCCAGCCAUACCGCGUGGGUGAAGAAGGCCUUCGGGUGGUAAAGCCCUUUUGUUGGGAAAGAAAAGCAGCAGGUUAAGACCCCGCUGUUCUGACGGUACCCAAAGAAUAGACACCGGCUAACUUCGU